UCUAGAGCUAAUACAUGCCAAUAUGCCCUGCCCCGCAAGGGAACGGGUGGUUUUAUUAGAACAGGACCAAUCGGCGGCGGCGAAAGCUGUUGCUGUUGUAUUCUGUGAUGACUCUGGAUAACUUCACUGAUCGCAGCUGGCCUUGUGUCGGCGACGGAUCUUUCAAAUGUCUGCCCUAUCAAUUGUCGAUGGUAGG
rnacentral:rRNA from 1 species